rnacentral:rRNA from 1 species
UUUAUGGAGAGUUUGAUCCUGGCUCAGGAUGAACGCUGGCGGCGUGCCUAAUACAUGCAAGUCGAGCGAACGGACGAGAAGCUUGCUUCUCUGAUGUUAGCGGCGGACGGGUGAGUAACACGUGGAUAACCUACCUAUAAGACUGGGAUAACUUCGGGAAACCGGAGCUAAUACCGGAUAAUAUUUUGAACCGCAUGGUUCAAAAGUGAAAGACGGUCUUGCUGUCACUUAUAGAUGGAUCCGCGCUGCAUUAGCUGGUUGGUAAGGUAACGGCUUACCAAGGCAACGAUGCAUAGCCGACCUGAGAGGGUGAUCGGCCACACUGGAACUGAGACACGGUCCAGACUCCUACGGGAGGCAGCAGUAGGGAAUCUUCCGCAAUGGGCGAAAGCCUGACGGAGCAACGCCGCGUGAGUGAUGAAGGUCUUCGGAUCGUAAAACUCUGUUAUUAGGGAAGAACAUAU